AGCAUUACGACAUGACGUAACAAUGAAUUAUUAUAUAUAGAGGUCAUAUAUAAGACUCGUCAUCGAAAAUUUCCGCUUUCUACAGCAACAAUAUAUUCAACACAGGAAAUGUUACCAUAUCAAUUCAGGAAGAUACUGUGUUCAUGUCGCUCAAUUUAGAAGAUUACUUGUAUAGUUCUUUAUACAGGAAGACCUGGAUUCCAGCAUUGACCGGGGGGGGGGGAGUCCGGAGAGGGUCCUUAGAUGGGUUUAGGUGGUGAGACGUAUAAGCUCGUAACAUUGGCAAGAUAUACUAGAAGUUACUAUCGCAAGGAAAGUGCUGCCAUCCAUGAUGUUAAAAGCUUUUGCAAAAUAUCUCGACCAAACUAAAAGUAAAAUUUAGUGAACUCCUGCAUGAAAGUAAAAAUUUAAAAAUUGGCCUCAGAAGGUCAAUUUUGGCUGUAAGAAACAUAUCAUUGUCCGUGUAGUUCUCAUAAGAAAAUCACGCAAAUCUACAGCGAAUAUAAACAUUGCGAAAGCAUACUGAGAAAUUUCUAAUACGGCAGUGCAUCCGGCUAGCACCCGUCUGAGCCAGGUUUGAAGCCACUUGGGAAGGGGGGAAACACGGGAGAUUUUUCAAUAGUCUAUAUACGAAUUAAUUUCCAUGAUUUUAGCAAAAGAUUAAUCCUUUUUGAUAAAUCAUAAUUCAGUGUAAACAUCGUCCAGUCUUUGUUUUGGCUUGGUUGCAUAGGAAUGGAAUCCC